GCCGGGGUCGCCUAGCCUGGUCUAGGGCGCCGGACUCAUAAUCCGGUACAUACCCCUGCCUAGGGGUAUGCGGGAGUUUCCCGGGUUCGAAUCCCGGCCCCGGCA
rnacentral:tRNA from 1 species